rfam:Ovis aries breed Texel chromosome 2, whole genome shotgun sequence.
UUCCUGGUGGCUCAGACAGCAAAGCGUCUGCCUAUAAUGCAGGAGACCCGGGUUCAAUCCCUGGGUUGGGAA